ACAUGCCUACAACAUAGUGUUAAUGCACCAUAUCCCAUUAGAACUUCGCAGUUAAGCGUGCUCGUGCUAGAGUAGUAUUGGGAUGGGUGACCGCUCAGGAAGUCAUAGUAUUUUACAUGCC
rnacentral:rRNA from 1 species